CCCUUAGAUGUUCUGGGCCGCACGCGCGCUACACUGAGUGGAUCAGCGGGUCAGGUUGCGCGAAAGUGUUUCCCAAUCUUUAAAUCCGCUCGUGAUGGGGAUUGACGGUUGCAAUUUUCCGUCAUGAACGAGGAAUACCUUGUAAGCGCGGGUCAUCAUCCCGCGCUGAAUACGUCCCUGCCCUUUGUACACACCGCCCGUCGCUCCUACCGAUUGAGUGGUCCGGUGAGGCUUUGGGAUCUGAGCGGAAAGAGCGUUUCGCUGUUUCUGCCCGGAAAACUCAGUCGAACCUUAUCAUUUAGAGGAAGGAGAAGUCGUAACA
rnacentral:rRNA from 1 species